GACGAAGGAUGCAAGCGUUAUCCGGAUUCAUUGGGUUUAAAGGGAGCGUAGGCGGUCUGGUAAGUCAGUGGUGAAAUCUUCUCGCUUAACGAGGAAACUGCCAUUGAUACUGCCGGACUUGAGUACAGAUGCUGUGGGCGGAAUAUGACAUGUAGUGGUGAAAUACAUAGAGAUGUCAUAGAAACACCGAUUGCGAAGGCAGCUCACAAAACUGUAACUGACGCUGAGGCUCGAAAGUGUGGGGAUCAAACAGG
rnacentral:rRNA from 1 species